rnacentral:lncRNA from 1 species
CAUUCUUGGAGCUCCCAGUCCCCUGCACUGUAUGGGGACAGGUGGGCCCCAGAGCCCCAGCUCUCCCCCCUCAACCCAUCAUUGAUGCCAAAGUUGUGGCGGGGAGGCUGUCAGCGAGGGUCUGAGGCUUCCCAGGCCACAAGAGCUGGGAAGCCUUCCGGGCCCUGCGUCCAUCUCAUGUCGUUCCAUGUUCAUCCUGUGUGCCUUUAGUGUCUCUUCCCUGUCUGCCCACGGGUGCAGAACUCUGCCUGGGGGUGGGGUGGGGGGCGGCCAAGGACACAGGAAGUGCCUUCUGGGGGCCUGUUGGCCAAGCCAGAGUUGGCAGCCACCCCAGGAGGAAAGGACAUUCCGAGGUCGGCCGAGAAGCCUCCACUCCCCGCUAACUGUCCAUUUAAAAAUCAUUUUAAUCUCUGGUUUGUUUUAGCUUAAGAUCAGAACGAUACAGAAUCAGCAGUGUCUUGUAAAUAAAAAGAUGCUAAAUACUGAGGGAUGCUACCAGACACUCAACCAGGGCCACUCUCCGAGAUUCCAGCCAGCCACACAGCAAAGAUGCUGGCCGGGGACACUGCCCCAAACCACCGGGCAAAGAGCAUCUUUCCUGGGAAUUUUCCAAGUCCACACCCCAUGGCUCUGAGAUAGAUGUGCAGGAUAAAUCCCAUAGAGCCCCAGAUAAGGGCUCUGCAAAUUAGCCCAGGAUUCCUCUCAGCCCCUCAAAGAGGUCAGCCCCAGAAUGAGGAGGGAACAGAGGGGGUACCCCAUAAGCAAGGAAGGAGCCUAGCGCCCAAAAGCCCCUGAGCCCCUUGUCAGCACAAGGGUCCCUGCACCUCUCCCAGCACAGAACCCUAGUGUCAUCAUUACUCCCACACAGGUAACACAUUAAGAGUCAAAUUCUGGGGCCCCAACUUACUGCCAUUGUCCCACUGUGGCAUAAAGAUACCAUUACACAAUGAUAACAACACCCAUUGAAAAUGACACAGUUGUACCGUUGACAAUGACACACAGGGAUGUUGACAGUCACCACGAUGACAAUAAUGCAGUGAGUGACAGUCACAUACAUUGACACCAACAAACGGGGCAAUGAUACCAGUUGACACUGACACAGUCACAGUGAUGGUAACCUCAGAAUCAAAGAUGCAAUGAGACUCAGUCACAUCGAGUCACACUGACGGUGACAUCAACACAGUGACACAGCAAUGUUGAUAGACUCAGUAACAGUCUCACAGAAUGAUACUAGUCCACAGCAAUACUGGCAGCCCUGAAGUCUGACAGCCGCCGUCGGUAACAAACAGACACAGCGACAGGCUCCAGGUCAGGAACCCC